rnacentral:rRNA from 1 species
UACGUAGGGUGCAGGCGUUAAUCGGAAUUACUGGGCGUAAAGCGUGCGCAGGCGGUUUGCUAAGACAGGUGUGAAAUCCCCGGGCUUAACCUGGGAACUGCGCUUGUUACUGGCAGGCUUGAGUGUGGCAGAGGGGGGUGGAAUUCCACGUGUAGCAGUGAAAUGCGUAGAUAUGUGGAGGAACACCGAUGGCGAAGGCAGCCCCCUGGGCCAGCACUGACGCUCAUGCACGAAAGCGUGGGGAGCAAACAGG